rnacentral:tRNA from 1 species
GGGGAUAUAGCUCAGUGGCAGAGUGCACGCUUAGCAAGUAUGAGGUCCUGGGUUUAAUCCCCAGUACCGCCA